rnacentral:rRNA from 1 species
GACGAACGCUGGCGGCGUGCCUAACACAUGCAAGUCGAACGGAAAGGCCCUGAUUUUGUGGGGUGCUCGAGUGGCGAAGGCGGGAGUAACACGUGUGUAUCCUGCACUUGUCUUUGGGAUAACAUCAGGAAACUGGGGCUAAUACAGGAUAGGAGCUUCUGCUGCAUGGUGGGGGUUGGAAAGUUUCGGCGGUUGGGGCUGGACUCGCGGCUUAUCAGCUUGUUGGUGGAGUAGUGGAGUCCCAAGGCUUUGAAUGGUAGGCGGCAUGAGAGGGUGACCAGGGUCAAGGGGACUGAGAGACGGCCCAGACGCCAACGUGAGGCAGUGGGCGGGAAUAUGACACAGCGGGCCGAAGCCUGAUACAGCAACGCUGCGUGCGUGAUGACGGCCUUCGGGUUAUAAACCGCUUUCGCCUGUGACGUAGCGUUAGUGACGGUAAUUAGUAAAGAAGCACCGGCUAACUACGUG